GACAGAGGUGCCGAGCGUUAGGCGGAAUCACUGGGCUUAAAGCGUGUGUAGGCGGACUUCUAAGUACCUUGUGAAAAUCCCAUGGCUCAACCAUGGAACUGCUCGGUAUACUGGUUUGUCUUGAGCCACUUAGGGGCAGUCGGAACAGACGGUGGAGCGGUGAAAUGCGUAGAUAUCGUCUGGAACGCCAAAGGUGAAAACAGACUGGCUAGGGAGUGAUGCUGGACGCUGAGACAUGAAAGCCAGGGGAGCAAAACGGGG
rnacentral:rRNA from 1 species